UUAAAGUUUGAUUCUGGCUUUUUCUCUGCUUUAAGGUUAAUAUUCAUGUAAGGUAAGUCGUGCUGUGGUUAUAUAUAGAGUUAACUGUUGCAGUACUCAGUGUAGUAAAUUGGCUAAAUAGAUUAAUGUUGUAGCUAGUAAUCUUUGUGAGCUCAGGGUAAAAUUGUGCCAGCACCUGCGGUUAGACUGAUAGGGUUAGUGGAGAUAUUUAGAGCUUGUAGUUGUAAGUUAUAUUAUAGAUGUAGUAUCAGUUAUUAAGGUAAAAGGUGAAAUUUGGUUCCUAAGAGUGUUUGAUAUUGUCUGUGAAAAUAUUAUAUCUACGGAGGUUAGAGGGUAAAUCAGGAUUAGAUACCCUGUUAUUUUUAACUUUAAAUUGAUAGCUUGAAUAGUAAACAGUUAUGGUCUCGAAACUUAAAGAAUUUGGCGGUACUUUAGUCUAGUUAGAGGAACCUGUUCAGUAAACGAUACUCCACGAAUAAUCUUACUUUCCCUAGUGAUUGUACAGUUUGUAUACCUCCAUUUGUUUAAGUAAUUUCAAAAGAAUAUACUGAAAUAAUUGAAUCUUUAGUUAAUAAUUUAGGUCAAGGUGCAGCUUAUGGGAAAGAAUGAAAUGGGUUACAAUAAAAUGAGUUUUGUAUGGAUGAAAAGGUUAAAUGCUUUUUUGAAAGUGGAUUUAAUAGUAAUUUUAUUUUAAUAUGGUAAUUUGAAAUUAGCUCUAAGGUGUGUACACAUUGCCCGUCGCUCUCACUAUUAUCUUACGUGAGAUAAGUCGUAACAUAGUAGGUGUACUGGAAAGUGCCCCUAGAAAUAA
rnacentral:ncRNA from 1 species